UUACGGGAGGCAGCAGUAAGGAAUAGUAGACAAUGGGCGCAAGCCUGAUCUCGCGACGCCGCGUGAGGGAUGAAGGCCUUCGGGUUGUAAACCUCUUUUUUCAGGGACGAAUAAUGACGGUACCUGGAGAAUAAGUCACGGCUAACUACGUGCCAGCAGCCGCGGUAAAACGUAGGUGGCUAACGUUAUCCGGAUUUACUGGGCGUAAAGAGUGCGUAGGUGGUCAUUCAAGUCAGAUGUAAAAUCUCCUGGCUCAACUGGGAGGGACCAUCUGACACUGCAUGGCUGGAGUACAGCAGAGGAAAGUGGAAUUCCCGGUGUAGUGGUGGAAUGCGUAGAUAUCGGGAGGAACACCAGUGGCGAAAGCGGCUUUCUGGGCUGUUACUGACACUGUUGCACAAAAGCGUGGGGAGCAAACAGGAUUAGAUACCCCGGUAGG
rnacentral:rRNA from 1 species